rnacentral:rRNA from 1 species
GAUGAACGCUAGCUACAGGCUUAACACAUGCAAGUCGAGGGGAAACGACAUCGAAAGCUUGCUUUUGAUGGGCGUCGACCGGCGCACGGGUGAGUAACGCGUAUCCAACCUGCCCACCACUUGGGGAUAACCUUGCGAAAGUAAGACUAAUACCCAAUGACGUCUCUAGAAGACAUCUGAAAGAGAUUAAAGAUUUAUCGGUGAUGGAUGGGGAUGCGUCUGAUUAGCUUGUUGGCGGGGUAACGGCCCACCAAGGCGACGAUCAGUAGGGGUUCUGAGAGGAAGGUCCCCCACAUUGGAACUGAGACACGGUCCAAACUCCUACGGGAGGCAGCAGUGAGGAAUAUGGGUCAAUGGACGAGAGUCUGAACCAGCCAAGUAGCGUGCAGGAUGACGGCCCUAUGGGUUGUAAACUGCUUUUAUAAGGGAAUAAAGUGAGUCUCGUGAGACUUUUUGCAUGUACCUUAUGAAUAAGGACCGGCUAAUUCCGU